UGGUGGUUUCAUUAAUGGACACCAGAAUUCUGAUCAAAUCACUACAACAAAUAAAGAAAAUAUUGAAAAUUCCAACAGUGCAUCAGAUGUUAGUGAACCAAUUAACAAUAGCAGAAGAAGAUCAUCAAGUGUUUCAAUAGAAGCAACAGUAAUGGAGAAGAGACAACGUCGAAUGAUUAAGAACAGAGAGUCUGCUGCACGAUCUAGAGCUAGAAAGCAGGCAUAUACAGCAGAAUUGGAAAUAGAACUCAAUCGACUGAGAGAAGAGAAUGAAAAACUCAAGUUACUUGUGGCUCAAGUUGCAACCAGAAGAAAAGAUGAGG